GAUGAACGCUGGCGGCGUGCCUAAUACAUGCAAGUCGAACGGGAAUCUUCGGAUUCCAGUGGCGAACGGGUGAGGAAUACAUAGGUAACCUGCCCCUCCGAGGGGGACAACAGACGGAAACAUCUGCUAAGACCGCAUAGCCACAGGGAAGGCAUCUUCCCUGUGCCAAAUGUCCUUUCGGGGACAGCGGGGGGAUGGACCUAUGCCGCAUUAGCUGGUUGGCGGGGCAACGGCCCACCAAGGCGACGAUGCGUAGCCGGCCUGAGAGGGCGGACGGCCACACUGGGACUGAGACACGGCCCAGACUCCUACGGGAGGCAGCAGUAGGGAAUUUUCGGCAAUGGGGGAAACCCUGACCGAGCAACGCCGCGUGAACGAUGAAGGCCUUCGGGUCGUAAAGUUCUGUUGCGAAGGAAGAACGCCGGUGUCAGGAAAUGGCGCCGGGUGACGGUA
rnacentral:rRNA from 1 species